rnacentral:lncRNA from 10 species
GUGGGAGGCUGAUGGGAAACCCCCCUUCGGUCUCGAGUCUGUGCCUUUCCAUCCAGCACAAGCCUCCCUACUCUCCCGGAGGGCCCUUCUCCCUCCUCCCCCAGGGAAGGCCACAGUGGGUGCCCCUUUGCCUACAAAAGCAAGCAUCUCCCUGACAGGCUGUGGUUCACUCCGGAGUCCCAGCAGAGCUGAGUGGCAGCAACUUUCAUUUGCCAACUGCUCUCCUCCAGCAUUUCAGUCCUUCUGAUCUUUGCAAACUUGUUAUUCCCCACCCUGCGUGCUCCUGUCUGGGGCAAGGGGGCUGUGGAGAGCAUUCAACCAUCCAAUGUACUAGGCUGGGAGGCAGAGCUGUGGCUGGGCCCAGAUGCACAGCUUCUGCACUGGUCCUGAAAUGGCCUCCCAGGGGAGCAGCCAUCCAGUUACUGUGGAACAAUCUCUGCCACCUCUGUACCCCUCCCAUCCGGAACUCGCCAUGCCACAGUGCCUGUCACGAGGAAGCUGGGCUUCCUAUUCCCUCUCAGAAAAGCCAGUUGUGGCAAACCAGUCCCCACAGCUUCCCUUCAUGGUGACACUAGUCAGGACACAUAGUUUCUGAUACAUUCAGGGUUCCUCCCUAGCACCACACAGAAACAGACCCAGUAAUCUUCAGUUUUUAAAGAAUUAAUCUGAGAGAAUGCCUGUCCCAACUCUAUGUGCUGAUAAAUAUAUGCUCUGUCUUGUUCCAACUCAUGGAUAAAUAUAGUUUUGACUGGUAAACUGAAACAGGACAUAAGACAGAGCCCUGCGGAACUCCACUAGAGACUUUCUCCCAAUGUUAACAUCCGGGUAUUAGAGUCUUUCAGAACAGGCAUUCUGUCAGGAGCUAAUACACAGGCCAGAGUUCUCCGACUUGUGAGAGGUCUUUUCUUCAUAUACCCCAUUACUUAUUGCAGCAUUUCUAUCAAUAGCCUGGAUCAGUGAUGCCAAGUAGGUAACACAGGGCCAGCAUCAUGAAAGCACCACAGUCCCCUUCUACUUGAGCCUAGACACAGCAUCAAAUUCUCUGCAACUGGCUGGGUGUGGUGGCCCCCAUCUGUAAUCCUAGCGUUUUGGGAGGGUAAGGUGGAAGGAUCACUUGAGCCCAGGAGUUCAAGACCAGCCUAGGGAACAUGGCAAGACCUCAUCUGUACAAAAAAUAAAUUAGCCAGGCAUGGUGGUGUGUACCUCUGUAGUCCCAGCUACUUGAGGGGCUGUGGAGGAUUGCUUGAGCCCAGGAAUUCAAGGAUGCAGUGAACUAUGGACGCCAUUGCAGUCCAGCUUGGAAAAAAAAAAAAAUCUCUGCAAGCUUGCACGCAGGCAGCAGGCCACGCAGUUGACACAUAAUGUGAGACUGACUUGCUGUUUCUGAAUUGGAAACUCAGAGGUAGUGAAAUCUUUAGGUGCAGCUGGCAAUGUCUAAAUUUUUCAACCAAUCCUGCCCUUUAUUUUUCUGAACUGUGAUCUCAUUUAUAUGUCAGUCCCAGUGGAGGCCAGGCUGGCAUACAGCCCUUCCAUUUGUGCUCUUGCUAAUCCUCCGCCCUUCUGAGUUCAUUUUUUUUCCUCUUAAUAUAAUCUUCUCUCCUUAAAAACUGAGGAAAGUGCUGGAAUAGAAAAUGGGGUCUUCGUAGGUCCUCACACCAGUUUCUGGCUAAUAGCUGUUUUCAGCACUUCAGUCCCACAUGUGACCUGUCUCCUGGGAAGCUUCCUCCACUAUUUUGUAACCUUAAGCAACUCCAAAGGUCUCAACUCCUUGGACUCUAUUUGUAAAAUAGAAUUGGUACAUGGAAGAGCAAUCAAAAUAAUUUCAGUUCAAGAAACAUUUAACAAGCUUAUACUAUGUUUUAGGCAGUGCUAGGUAAAUAUCAAGUCUUGGCCCUCCAGGAAAUCAGAGUCAAGUAGUAAAAUUAGUGGGUAAGCUCGGUAAUGCAGAUGCUGUUCUUUCAUUUCUGUGCCCCUAGCACCUAGUGUACCACACUCAAGAUAGCAGCUAAAUGGGUAAUAUGGGACUCAGGUAUUUCCAAGAAUAAGAGAUGAGGAUGAUGGUUACCUGGGUCCCAGGAGCCACCCUGGAAAGUGAAGGCAGGGCAGUAAUGGCAGAUGAGAUGGCUGGGGACAGAGGCUCAGCUGGAUACGCUAGGCCACAUAGGCUUUCCGUCUUCACCUUCCUGCUUUGGGGUAAGAGACUACUUGAGAAACUGUGGAUCUUCUCUUCAGACAAAUGCAUACACAUUUGAAUACCACAUUAGGUUCUCUGAAAGAAGCAUCCCCCUGGCUGCUGCCCCACCCCCUUAAUAGCCUACACUCUCUCUUGAGAACGAGCCAUGUACUCUCUGGGUCACACCUCAACAACACACUGUCUUUACAAAUAAGGCUGCUAACACAUGGCAGGAACAACUGAGUUCCUAACCAGUCCCUCGGCUACCUGAUUCAGCACGUGACUCAUUCUUUUUUGCCUUUUCAGCUCAAAGCUUGUACCCCCAAGGGACUAUGGUCCUUUUAAGAACUGUAUCUGUGUUUUCCCUGGGAGGUGUUUAAUAUCCACUUUGAAUAACACUGAUCUGGCAUUCCCUUCCCUGGGGCUUGGCAAGGGCCCUUCUGGUGCAGCCCCUAGCCUGGCACAGCUCUGCUCCAACUUUCUGCUGUUGCUGCUCCUGGCCUCAGGCCACGCUGCACUGAUAAAGCUACACUGCAUUUUCCUCCCCAAAAUGAUUGGUGAUGGGGUAGAGCCCUUUAUAGUUUACACAGUAUUCUGACAUAUGCAAAAACAAAACAACUAUGGUAAAUGAGGAAACUGAGGCUGAGAGAGGUGUACCUGAGGCUGCAGCCUGAAUGUGUGGAGGGUCUCAAACAUCACUCUUCUGUCACCAGAUGGCAGGGUCUGCUUUUCCAUGCUGUUUCCUUUCCUUCCCCCAGAGUCUGGGCAGUUCUUUCCAUUUGGUAAAUUGAAUGUCAAGGAGUAUCCUCUGUGGAAUGCAGAGCUGGCAGCUGGGUUCCUACAUCUGUUUUCUACAAGGUCUUUGCUGCCCAUUUAGCACCAUUCAUUCACUAACUCAGCAACUGCUGAGUACCUCCCCUGCCUGGCUGGCGGGAAAGUACUAAAAUAUAAGUUAGGUGCCAUCCAGGGGCUGGCUCUGUUCCCAUGGACUUGUUUUUUUGGACUGUGACUGUGAUUUUUCUCUCCUGCAGAAAUGCCAGAUAGCGCAGCAGCUCUGCUGGGCACUUGCUGCAAACUCCAGAUCAUUCCCACACUGUGCCACUUGCUUCGUGCUCUGUCUGAUGAUGGAGUAUCUGAUCUUGAAGACCCAACCUUGACUCCCCUGAAAGAUACAGAAAGGUUUGGGAUUGUGCAGCGCUUGUUUGCCUCAGCUGACAUUAGUCUGGAGAGACUGAAGUCAUCUGUGAAAGCUGUCAUUCUGAAGGACUCUAAAGUCUUCCCACUGCUUCUUUGUAUAACCCUGAAUGGACUCUGUGCUUUAGGCAGAGAACAUUCAUGAUGUCAUAUGUGAACUAGAAGUACGUGUUACUGGCCAAGGCUAUUUUUCAGAACUGUUAAAGGUCAUAUGCACGUUAAAAGUUGACCAAUGAAAUGAAUUUACAGAACAGUUUAAGAAGUGGUGACAUUUUGCAUGAUGAAUGACCUGACUUUUAGCCACCAGGUACUCUUUAAACAGUUUUCCUUAUCAGAGGCCCUCCUGUGCUGGUGACCCAGCAUCUGAGUUAGGUUCCAGCAUGUAAAGAGCUGGGAGGGCGGAGAAUUCUUAGCAUACAUUCAGACGUUUUUUCUGCACAAUAAUAAGUCCAUCUGUCACUUGCAUUCCACUUUUUGUUACAUAGAAAGAGUCUGACCCUUUAAUCCAAAAGGUCUUUUUACAUUGUGAAUGCUGUGGGAAGGCAAUUUCUCUGCACACAAGAGGCUACGUUUUGGAAGUGAUGUAUGUUAUUUGAUGACUGAAAAUGAACUGUAAAUGCUCCUAGAGUAUAUUCCUCUGCUGAACAAAAUUAAACUUCAAAAAAAUCUAACAGUAACACACCCCUGCUUGGGACCCUAGCUAUAUGCAUUUUAUGUGACCUUGCCAUGCUUCAGUGAACAUACUAAUUCUAUGUCUAGCACAUGUUGAUUUCCUAUGUAUUCUGGGUAUUCUAUUAAAGGAAACUUUGAACUAU